CAACCCUUAAGCCCUGCUUAGUGUUGGGAGUCUACACCUGGGCGGACCUACCCUGUAGUGCCGUCCUCGUAGCUCCUCAAAUUUAGCGGCGGAGUUGUAGUAUCCUCUGAGCGUAGUAAUUAUCAUCUCGCUUUUGUUAGGUGCUACGGCCCUUGCCGUUAAACCCCCUAUUUUUUUGUGG
rnacentral:misc_RNA from 1 species